rnacentral:rRNA from 1 species
UACGAAGGGUUCUAGCGUUGUUCGGAUUUACUGGGCGUAAAGGGCGCGUAGGCGGAUUUUUAAGUCGGGGGUGAAAUCCCGGAGCUCAACUCCGGAACUGCCUUCAAUUUUGAAAGUCUGGAGCACGGUAGAGGUUAGUGGAAUUCCGAGUGUAGAGGUGAAAUUCGUAGAUAUUCGGAGGAACACCAGUGGUAAAGGCGGCUCACUAGACCUUUGCUGAUGCUGAGGCGCGAAAGCGUGUGGAGCAAACAGG